GUGCUGGCUUCGGCAGCACAUAUAUUAACAUUAGAAUGAUACAGAGAAGAUUAGCACGGCCUCUGAGCAAGGAUGACACGCAAAUUCGUGACACGGUCAUAUUUUUA